UGCACAAGUCUAGUGGGCGGAAAAGUACACGGUGUGCUUGUCCCUCGCAUCUGCUCCCUGGGCACACUGGCUGCUUCUGUUUUGCUCAGCCCGUUGUCUGGACUAUGGCAGGCGCUUAAAGGUCUUUGUGGGAUGAUUGGAAAGAGUGAACAUGCAGCCAAACCCCUGACCUCCACCCACUCGAUGAUGCCCAGGACAGUGCCUUCAGCUGUGACCACCAGAUGCAUUGCCCAGUGUCCUGGAGGACAAAGUCACCAGGAGGUGACAACGAGCCAAGGACUCUUUUCCUCCUCGAUACUAAUGCGAUACUGGAAAUAGGCCAAGAUGAUAUGAUGUGUCGGCAGUGGGGACCCCUUGCCCUGCAUUCCCCAGAAAACCAGGAGCCGCCUAUGGACUGUCCCAAGAUUACAAUUGAUGGGCCGCAGUCCCAAAAGGAAACUACAGUGCCAGAAAUGCCUGGCACUUGACUCUGCAGCUCUUUGGGGAACUAACAAAUUCCGGGUGCAUCGGACACUGCAGGAAACUCAGGUCACCGCCCCGUUCAGUUUGUGACUGAAGAACUCAGUCAGGCCUAUGCAUGACAGGAACCUGGGGCAGGGAGCGGAAAGUCAAGCCACUCAGGUUAGCUCCAUGGUGUCACUUAAGAACCUCUCCAUUGCUGGGUGCCUCUGGAAAUACGCAUCUGCUUUUUAAAAAGAGGAAUGGAAAUGUUCUCCCCACAGGCUGGGCCCACACUUACAGCCACAUGCCUCUGUGGAAGAAUAUGAAGUCUGAGGGCUCCCUGAACACUUGGUAUGCUGUGUGCAACAGAGGAAUACGAGCCCUGACAACACUGUAGCUGCUGAGGCCCUCCCAGAGGAGCUGGAGUGAAACUGCUGAACCGAUGCUCCUGACCCUCCAGUGUCAUCAUGCUGCAGUCUGAGAAAGGAAGGAGAUUACAGCAGUGGGUGGUCUCCCCCUCUAGACCCUACAGUUCCCUGGGCAUCUAUAGAAUCCACAUGCAUCUCUCUGACACUGGGUGACAGCCAGAAUCUGCCUGGGACCCUCUCACUACACUGUAGGAGCGUACUCAGUUGGCUCACAUCAUUUCUCAGGACCAUGGCACUCUGUCAAAAACAUCUAAUAUCUGAAGACUACCACCUGAUGUGGAUUUCCCCUCUGUAUGCUGUGAAUACCAUUGGUUAAUAAAGAAACUGUCUUGGCCUGAUAGGGUAGAGUAGAGCUAGAU